rnacentral:rRNA from 1 species
AGAUUGAACGCUGGCGGCAUGCCUUACACAUGCAAGUCGAACGGCAGCGCGGGGCAACCUGGCGGCGAGUGGCGAACGGGUGAGUAAUAUAUCGGAACGUACCCUGGAGUGGGGGAUAACGUAGCGAAAGUUACGCUAAUACCGCAUACGAUCUAAGGAUGAAAGUGGGGGAUUCGACAAGAACCUCAUGCUCCUGGAGCGGCCGAUAUCUGAUUAGCUAGUUGGUAGGGGUAAAGGCCUACCAAGGCAUCGAUCAGUAGCUGGUCUGAGAGGACGACCAGCCACACGUGAACUGGAGACACGGUCCAGACUCCUACGGGAGCAGCAGGUGGGUAAUUUUGGACUAAGUGGGACGCAAGCUAGACUCC